rnacentral:misc_RNA from 1 species
GUACUUGCUAUGCUGCCAUUUACAUCUCCCGAUGAACCACUUUAUUUGAUUUAUGCAAUAAAUCGGAUAAUACAGGUUAGGGCUGGAGCCCUUGAAGCAAAUAUGAAGGGCUUAAUUUUACAUUUGUCACAAAGAAAUUCUGGGAAGUUGCUGCAUGAAAAUGGGGUAAUUCAGCAAGAGCCAGGGCAGCCUAUUCUCCGUCAUAUGGCCACAAUGGAUUUGAAUGGGGUAAUUCAACAAGAGCCAGUUGCGCAGCCUAAUUUCAUUCCUUUGACAUCAUUUGAUUUGAAUGGAA